CACAGAGAUGUGGUGUCCUUCGGGCCGUUACACAGUUGGUGCAUGGCUGUCGUCAGCUCGUGUCGUGAGAUGUUGGGUUAAGUCCCGCAACGAGCGCAACCCUUAUUCUAUGUUGCCAGCGGGUAAUGCCGGGGACUCGUGGAAGACUGCCGGGGUCAACUCGGAGGAAGGUGGGGACGACGUCAAGUCAUCAUGCCCCUUACGUCCAGGGCUGCAAACACGCUACAAUGGCCGGUACAAAGGGCUGCGAACCCGCGAGGGUAAGCCAAUCCCACAAAGCCGGUCUCAGUUCGGAUUGGAGGCUGCAACUCGCCUCCAUGAAGCUGGAGUUGCUAGUAAUCCCGGAUCAGCACGCCGGGGUGAAUACGUUCCCGGGCCUUGUACACACCGCCCGUCACACCACGAAAGUCGGCAACACCCGAAGCCGGUGCCUAACCGCAAGGAAGGAGCCGUCGAAGGU
rnacentral:rRNA from 1 species